rnacentral:snoRNA from 1 species
CAGCAUGUUUCCAAGGGCUGUGGCCGGGUGUGGCCAUGGGAUCUCCAACUGCAUGCGAGAGCAACCUGGAGAGACUUUGACAGCACAGGUCCACGUAAUACCUGCAGCUGCCACUCAACUUUCCUAUAACA